UACGUAGGAGGCAAGCGUUGUCCGGAUUUACUGGGCGUAAAGAGCGCGCAGGCGGUCUGACAAGUUCAGAUGUGAAAGAAGCCGGCUUUAACCGGCAAGGGUCAUUUGAAACUGUUAGACUAGAGUGCACAAAGAGGAUAGUGGAAUUCCCGGUGUAAGUGGUGAAAUGCGUAGAUAUCGGGAGGAACACCAGUGGCGAAAGGCGACUAUCUGGGGGUGACAACUGAACGCUUGAGGGCGCGAAGGC
rnacentral:rRNA from 1 species